rnacentral:rRNA from 1 species
AAGCAGCCAUCAUUUAAAGAAAGCGUAAUAGCUCACUGGUCGAGUCGGCCUGCGCGGAAGAUGUAACGGGGCUAAACCAUGCACCGAAGCUGCGGCAGCGACGCUGAUGCGUUGUUGGGUAGGGGAGCGUUCUGUAAGCCUGUGAAGGUGGCCUGUGAGGGUUGCUGGAGGUAUCAGAAGUGCGAAUGCUGACAUAAGUAACGAUAAAGCGGGUGAAAAGCCCGCUCGCCGGAAGACCAAGGGUUCCUGUCCAACGUUAAUCGGGGCAGGGUGAGUCGACCCCUAAGGCGAGGCCGAAAGGCGUAGUCGAUGGGAAACGGGUUAAUAUUCCCGUACUUGGUGUUACUGCGAAGGGGGGACGGAGAAGGCUAUGUUGGCCGGGCGACGGUUGUCCCGGUUUAAGCGUGUAGGCUGGUUUUCCAGGCAAAUCCGGAAAAUCAAGGCUGAGGCGUGACGACGAGGCACUACGGUGCUGAAGCAACAAAUGCCCUGCUUCCAGGAAAAGCCUCUAAGCAUCAGGUAACAUCAAAUCGUACCCCAAACCGACACAGGUGGUCAGGUAGAGAAUACCAAGGCGCUUGAGAGAACUCGGGUGAAGGAACUAGGCAAAAUGGUGCCGUAACUUCGGGAGAAGGCACGCUGACACGUAGGUGAAGUGAUUUACUCAUGGAGCUGAAGUCAGUCGAAGAUACCAGCUGGCUGCAACUGUUUAUUAAAAACACAGCACUGUGCAAACACGAAAGUGGACGUAUACGGUGUGACGCCUGCCCGGUGCCGGAAGGUUAAUUGAUGGGGUCAGCGCAAGCGAAGCUCCUGAUCGAAGCCCCGGUAAACGGCGGCCGUAACUAUAACGGUCCUAAGGUAGCGAAAUUCCUUGUCGGGUAAGUUCCGACCUGCACGAAUGGCGUAAUGAUGGCCAGGCUGUCUCCACCCGAGACUCAGUGAAAUUGAACUCGCUGUGAAGAUGCAGUGUACCCGCGGCAAGACGGAAAGACCCCGUGAACCUUUACUAUAGCUUGACACUGAACAUUGAGCCUUGAUGUGUAGGAUAGGUGGGAGGCUUUGAAGUGUGGACGCCAGUCUGCAUGGAGCCGGCCUUGAAAUACCACCCUUUAAUGUUUGAUGUUCUAACGUGGACCCGUGAUCCGGGUUGCGGACAGUGUCUGGUGGGUAGUUUGACUGGGGCGGUCUCCUCCUAAAGAGUAACGGAGGAGCACGAAGGUUGGCUAAUCCUGGUCGGACAUCAGGAGGUUAGUGCAAUGGCAUAAGCCAGCUUGACUGCGAGCGUGACGGCGCGAGCAGGUGCGAAAGCAGGUCAUAGUGAUCCGGUGGUUCUGAAUGGAAGGGCCAUCGCUCAACGGAUAAAAGGUACUCCGGGGAUAACAGGCUGAUACCGCCCAAGAGUUCAUAUCGACGGCGGUGUUUGGCACCUCGAUGUCGGCUCAUCACAUCCUGGGGCUGAAGUAGGUCCCAAGGGUAUGGCUGUUCGCCAUUUAAAGUGGUACGCGAGCUGGGUUUAGAACGUCGUGAGACAGUUCGGUCCCUAUCUGCCGUGGGCGCUGGAGAACUGAGGGGGGCUGCUCCUAGUACGAGAGGACCGGAGUGGACGCAUCACUGGUGUUCGGGUUGUCAUGCCAAUGGCACUGCCCGGUAGCUAAAUGCGGAAGAGAUAAGUGCUGAAAGCAUCUAAGCACGAAACUUGCCCCGAGAUGAGUUCUCCCUGAGACUUUAGGUCUCCUGAAGGAACGUUGAAGACGACGACGUUGAUAGGCCGGGUGUGUAAGCGCAGCGAUGCGUUGAGCUAACCGGUACUAAUGAACCGUGAGGCUUAACCUUACA